CUUGGCUGAACGAGUUGCCUUGUGAGGGCCGAUAUUUUACAAAUUCUUGGAAGGAGGAAGCCACAGUCUCAUUUUGACAACCUGACUAACUUCAGAUUUGAAGAUGCAUCAAAGGACUCAAUUAUUAAAAAAAACACAAACCAAUGUUGUGCAGACAUGUUCUUUAUCUGUGUCUAACAUCUUCUUAAAAGAGGGAACCCUUGUUUCUGGGUUUUUAGGAAGAGAGAGGAUCUUAGAUUACUUUUCAGAGACCACUGCUCCGGAUGGUUCAAGUAUGGAUAAGAAGGACUCCUGAUGGGAAUCUAAGUCCAUUGCUCUUGAGACACACCCAAAACUUGGAGGCCAGAGUAUAAAGAGAAGAAAGAAAGUUCAGGCAAGAAGUCAGAAAAGUAUCACCACGAGAAAGUCACAGCUUCUAAAACAGAUUAUCACACUUUUUUAUCCUGAACAUCCAUUUCACUCAAGAGGUUCUGUGACCACCACACAUCUUCAAACCUUCUCACUUCAAAAAAGAGUAAGACCUUCAAAUUCUUUCAAUGCUACAAUAACUGGAAAACUAUGGCAAUCUAUUUCAUUUGAUUACUUCAGAACUGGUCAGAC